rnacentral:lncRNA from 1 species
CUUUCAUUUUCAAUAUAUUAUCAUUAAUUUGGAAGAAAAGAUAAAACAAAUUGAUACAAAUAGGAAUAGUAAUAAUUAUAAUAAAAAUGACAUAAAUUUAAGAAAUACACAUAAAAAACAAUCUUUAAUAUUUUUUUUAAUAAAAAAUAUUUUUUUUAUGGUAUCAAAAAAAUAUAUAUUAAAACAAUUUAUAAAUUAUAAAAGUAAUAAACAUAUUAUAGAUAUAGUUUUAAACAAUUUUUCAGAAAAAAUAAAUUCUUUUAAUAAUAAAAAUGUAGAAAUUAUUAAAAAAAAUGAAGAUGAAGAUAGACAUAUGUUUGAAGAUCAAUUAAAUGAUAUUUAUUACUCAGAUGACGAAUUUUUUUUAAAAAAUAAUACUCCUAGUAAAAAUUCAACAGAAGAUAAAACAUUUACUAAUGAUAAAAAUUAUAUGAUUAAUGACCAAAAUUUAAAUACAGACAUAAAUAAUAAUUCGGAUGUUUCAAACAAACAAAAUAUAACAAAAGAAAUAAACAAUUUUAAAUAUUAUAAAUAUAAUAAAAUUAUUAAAGUUAUAGAAAAUUAUAAAAACAAUGAUAAUGUAACAGAGUUACUUACAUUACCAGACUCAACGAGUGUAGACAAGUGUUUACAUUUUUUGAUCUAUUCAAAGUUUAUUUAUUUUGAAAAAAGGGUCAUAAAUAUAUAUUUAAAUAAAAUAUUUUUUCCACAUGUAUUAUACAAUUCGUGUUAUGUUAAUGACGAAUACAAUAAAACUAAUACUUACAAUGGAACCACUAGAACUUACAAUAAAGCUACUAAUAGUUGCAAUAAAACCUCUAAUAGUUGCAAUAAAACCUCUAAUAGUUGCAAUAAAACCUCUAAUAGUUGCAAUAAAACCACUAUAACUUACAAUGACGACUGUGUUGCUUUUAAUUUGGGAGAUGACUACAAUAACUUAGUAAAUAGAAAACAAUCGGAUGUAAUUAUUCAUAAAAAAGUAAAAAAAAGUAUCUAUUUUGUAUUAAAAAAAAGGUUUUUUGAUUUAUUUUUAAGUGAAAUAAAAAAAGAAAACAUAAAAAAAACUUCAUUAAAUUUGGAAGAACAUACAAUUUCUUUAUUAACUUAUAAAAAUUUUAUUUUAAUACAAGUAUGUAAAAAUGAAAUUAAUUUAUUAUUUAACAAUAAUAUUUAUAUUUUAUUUAAAAAAAUAAGUUCAGAAAAUAUAAUAAAAUCAUGUAAAUUAAUAAAAAAUUAUUUAAUCGUUGAGUAUGAAAAAGGAAACUGUAAAAUAAUGUUAUUUAAUAUUAAUAUUAUAAACAAAUUAAAAAAAAAAAUAAGACAAAUAACUACUUUAUUUAAUCUUUGUGCUUUACAUUGUUUAAUGUAUGAUAACAAACAAGUAAAAACAAAUAUGUUCAAUUUUUUAAAUUUUUG